UUGGUAAUGUGUCUUGUUGUGUGAAGGUACAGUACUGGUAAUGUGUCUUGUUGUGUGAAGGUACAGUACUGGUAAUGUGUCUUGGUGUUGAAGGUACAGUACUGGUAAUGUGUCUUGUUGUGUGAGGUACAGUACUGGUAAUGUGUUUUGUUGUGUGAAGGUACAGUACUGGUAAUGUGUCUUGUUGUGUGAAGGUGCAGUACUGGUAAUGUGUCUUGUUGUGUGAAGGCACAGUACUGGUAAUGUGUCUUGUUUGUGAAGGCACAGUACUGGUAAUGUGUCUUGUUGUGUGAAGGCACAGUACUGGUAAUGUGUCUUGUUGUGUGAAGGUGCAGUACUGGUAAUGUGUCUUGUUGUGUGAAGGUACAGUACGGUAAUGUGUCUUGG